CCUACGGGUGGCAGCAGUGAGGAAUAUUGGUCAAUGGACGAGAGUCUGAACCAGCCAAGUAGCGUGAAGGAUGACUGCCCUAUGGGUUGUAAACUUCUUUUAUAUGGGAAUAAAAUGUUCCACGUGUGGGAUUUUGUAUGUACCAUAUGAAUAAGGAUCGGCUAACUCCGUGCCAGCAGCCGCGGUAAUACGGAGGAUGCGAGCGUUAUCCGGAUUUAUUGGGUUUAAAGGGUGCGUAGGCGGGUUAUCAAGUCAGCGGUAAAAUCGUGGAGCUCAACUCCAUCCAGCCGUUGAAACUGAUGAUCUUGAGUGGGCGAGAAGUAUGCGGAAUGCGUGGUGGAGCGGUGAAAUGCUUAGAUAUCACGAAGAACUCCGAUUGCGAAGGCAGUUCACUGGACUGCAACUGACACUGAGGCUCGAAAGUGUGGGUAUCAAACAGGAUUAGAUACCCCGGUAGUC
rnacentral:rRNA from 1 species